GUUUCGCCACUCUAUCUCACCUCAUUUUUCUUUCCGCCAUCAUCUACUGUUUGUCUCUGUGUCACGGAGCGUUUACGUGCAGACAGGAUGAGAAUUGCCAGACCAGGACGAAAGCGCCAGCCUGGAAAGGAUGCAAAUAGACCUGGAAUAACUAUGUGAACGCAAAAAUGGACUGUUGGGGGUGGAAGGAAGGUUUCCCAAACAAGUCUUUAGUGGUACAUGCCGUUUAGCGAAGCCGGUGGGGUCCGUGAUCUGGGUCUGAGCGGGUCUGAGCGAAUAGGGAUGUGAUCUAGACGGCUGUGCUAAAUGCACCAUGAAUGGCAACUGGUUCCGGCUGGUUAAAUAAAAAAAACGAGAUGUGCAGUUUCCAGGUAAUGGAGGUGUAAAGUGUGUAUGACAGGUCAAGCUAAUGGGCCGCAGCUCCUCUGAGAAAACACACGCACCUCUAAAUGCACAAGACGGAUGCAGCCGCCAGCUGUCGAUGAGAAAGCAGGAUGUGGAGCUUAUCGGAAGAGACUUUCCAAUGAGAGUCAGCAGAUUUGGGGUUGCUAGGGCGCUAAGAUAAAUGGAACCUUGGAAUUUGAACUGCUGCUUCGCAAGUGCUCAGACAUCAGUCAGGUCCAAUCCACCGAGGUGGACACAAAUUUACACGCCACUUAUAAACCUUGGGGGGUUGUCUGAUUGAAUUCUCUUCACUCGCGUCCAACUGCGAUUAACUUAUCCCCUCCUCCUCCGCCGGACGUCCUUCUCCACUGCCCCAGUGCAUCUCUGUCAGCCAAUCAAUAAGCUAUUAUGGCUCCCAAACAGCAGGUGAAAUGAACUUAUAAGAGUACCUGCAGACUCGGCACUCUGGUAAUCCUGUUGGAAAGGGUCUAAUGAGGGAAAGCGGGCCACGGCAGAGGUGCGUUUCAAUGACACGCACGCACACACCUGCAACAAAACCUGCAGCUGUGCUGGGAAAGCGAGGAGUGUCCUUCAGGACAGCUGCAUUGCGGUGCACAGAACUGCGGAGGAGCUCCAACAGUUCCCACCGGUGUUUGCACAUAUUUCUGGCAUUCAAUUUGCAUAAGUUCACUGCACUCGGUGGCCCUGAAAACCACAGUACACCAGGCACUACACUUAUUGUUUGUGCUUUAAAACUGCGGUAAGGUUGCCCAUGUUAAUCUAUGAUUUUACAGUGGUAACAAUAACUUUAAAUGGUAUUCUAGCUGAAACUGUGGUUCAAUGACAUUUUUUCAAAGGCAAAUAAAUGUAUAUGCUCCAAAAUGUGGUUGCAACUUUAAAAGACUGUGGAAAUAAUGAGAUUGGUUCUUCUCAUUCAAAGAGUUUUUCUUUAUUUUCAUGACUAUGAAAAUUGUAGAGUCACACUGAAGUCAUCGAGGGCUAUUUGAGCAAGAAGGAGAGUGAUGGGGUGCUGCUCCAGAUGACCUGACCUCCACAGUCACCGGACCUGAACCCAAUCCAGAUGGUUUAGGGGUGAGCUGGGCCGCAGACAGAAGGCAAAAGGGCCAACAAGUGCUAAGCAUCUCUCGGGAACUCCUUCAAGACUGUUGAAGACCAUUUCAGGUGACUACCUCUUGAAGCUCAUCAAGAGAACGCCAAGAGUGUGCAAAGCAGUAAUCAAAGCAGAAGGUGGCUACUUUGAAGAACCUACAAUAUGACAUAUUUUCAGUUGUUUCACACUGUUUUGUUAUGUAUAUAAUUCCAUAUAUAAUUCCACUUGUGUUAAUUCAUAGUUUUGAUGCCUUCAGUGUGAAUCUACAAUUUUCAUAGUCAUGAAAAUAAAGAAAACUCUUUGAAUGAGAAGGUGUGUCCAAACUUUUGUUCUGUAAUGUAUGUAUAUAAACACACAGAGAGCUGCUUAAAUUAAUUACAAAUUGUAGAUAGUAACAAUCCAUUACAUUACAAAAUUUAGGUAAUGUAAUCAGACUACUUUUUGAUUACUUUUAACGUAACUUGUUUAUCAGAAUGAUUUAUACAUGAUAAUAUUGCACCAUGCUGAUAUUAAAAUGCAAAGAACAUA